rnacentral:lncRNA from 1 species
AUGUCCGGUGGUGUUUCACUGUUGCCCUGGUUAGGUUCCGGACAAUUUAAAAAUUUAUCUGGAGCUCAGAGCACCAAGACUGGAACAUGCGUCGGGCUGUGUCCUGUGUCCAGUGGACGCCAUCCUGCGUCGUGGAGAAUUGGCCUGGCGGUAGCGGUCCCAAGAAAGGCAGACAGGAUGUGUAGGACUCGGAUGGAGCUUUGGUCUCGGUCUCGCCUCGCGCUGUGGGGAGACAGGAGAGUGAACGUUAUUGUUUUCCGUGAUUGGUGGGGAGGCGGGUCCAAUGUGGGAGGGCCCCUCCCUCACAGCCACGUUCGAAUAGAACGGCCCGGUGUCAUCCCCUGGUGGAGGCAGUGUUGUGAGUGCCAGUGCUCUGCAUCUAUAGCGGUUUGUGCAAUAGGAGAGAGCAUGAGAGGAGAGGAAGGGAGAGCCACAAGAGAGCCCGACGGACUGCUGUAUCUUUCAUACGUGAACUCUGGUUCUAAAUCCGGACGCUGUCCCGAGUGGCGGCGCUGCCCCGGGAUCCGGCAGAGGUGGAAAUUCUUCUCUGUUGGCCAAGUCGGGAAUCAGCGGGUUGUCAAUACUGGGCCCGUCUACUGGAGGGGAGCCCAGGGCCUCAAAGUUCUCAGGUCGUUCGGAGCCGUCUCGGAGCAGGGCACGGACUGCCUGGAUCGUGGUGUGGCUAUUCUGACCUGUUCUGUGGGAGAGGAGGGUUUGAUAAAACCGGUAAGUUUUUUGACAUGUUUGGCCAUUCCUUUCGGUGGAACCCCAGUGGAGAUGGCUUUGUCAAUUAUAUUUUUAUGAUGCACCGCUUGUAUUAACUUAAAGUAUUUUUUACAGAUUUCUCUCGUAAUUUCGUCUAAUUCCAUUUGGGCCUGUGUUCGUUUGUUAAUAUUAUUACUAUUCCGUGCUUUAGUGAUCCUGUUUUUCCUAAAGCCUGUAGUGUUUUGUCUGGUGUGACUUUCCCUGUGUUCCAAUAGCGCUUCAGUUCCUGCUGGUAAGCUGAAGUAGGCCAUCUUGGAUCUGUGGGAGGAAGACAUGUUUAGUCUGGGGCCUACCUGUUGGUCCAUGUCGUCAAGCCGAGUUGUUAAUUCUCCCCCGACUCAGUAGGUCCUCAGUGGUAUACGAUGUGGAAGAAUCCUAGAGUCCGCUGGACCUAUAUCGGCAGAAGCUUGAUCCUGACAGGUUGGGAUGAGACACUUUAAAGUUCAUCACAGGUCUGCUGUUUCGGUCCCUGAUUGGUAUGGGAGGAUUGGUAUGUGAACGUCCUCACAUCUGAACCCGUAUGGUAAGGACCCGACUAAUGUCUUCCCUGUUAAAAUUUACUUUAUUUAAAAUUAUAAAAUCGUAUUUAAAAAUGCUUAAAAGUGACAGUUGACCAAUUAACGGUCCUGUUCUGUCAAUAAAAACCGAAUGUGACUAAAAAAAGAUCUCA